CGAUGCCGAGGCACUGGCGUACGGUGCUGCGGCUGCCGUCCGCGCCGAUCAGCCAGUCGGCCCUGAAGGUCACCUCCUCGCCGUCGGCC
rnacentral:tRNA from 1 species